AAAUGUGAUCUCACUCAGUUGAAAAAGAAACAAUCAGAAGUGAGCAAUGGGAGCCGUGAAACCAUCUCAAUGAAGACUUGUUGCCAACAUGGAGAUAGAGGAUAUUGGUCUACAGGGUACUAUUGGAGAGGUAACUGUGAGGCUUUUACACCCAGACAGCCCUUCUGUGCAUGGGGGUCCUGAUGACAACUUAAUUGAAGGUGGAGGAACAAAAUUUGUCUGCAAACCUGGAGCCAGAAAUAUUACUGUCAUAUUCCACCCAUUACUAAGAUUUAUUCAGGAGAUUGAGCAUGCCCUGGGUCUUGGCCCAGCCAAACAGUGUCCUCUUCGAGAGUUUCUUACCGUGUACAUCAAAAACAUCUUUCUCAAUCAAGUCUUGGCUGAGAUCAACAAGGAGAUUGAAGGAGUCACUAAAACAUCUGACCCUUUGAAGAUUCUGGCCAACGCAGACACCAUGAAGGUGCUGGGAGUGCAGCGGCCUCUCCUACAGAGCACAAUCAUUGUGGAGAAGACGGUGCAAGAUCUCCUGAACCUGAUGCAUGACUUGAGUGCAUAUUCAGAUCAAUUCCUCAACAUGG
rnacentral:sRNA from 1 species